rnacentral:lncRNA from 1 species
AAGGGAGUAAAAUUUAGAUUUUCCAAGAAAAGCAGCAACUUGACUCAAGAGAAUUACUUUCAGCUGGCUCACCUCUUGCUUAACCUGGUCCAGGAAAAUGGCAACGACCUCACCCUUCUUGACUUUCGGAAGGAGGAAGAUGAGAAUGGAAACAGUGCCUAUCUCACAGGGCUGUUGCCGGGAUGAGAUGAUCAGUGCUUGCCAUGAACCUGGAAUAAUGCCCAGCAUGGAAUUACUACAUUGACUCUUGCUAAAUGAUUAAACCUUCCAGGGAAUCCCAAACCCACGUGGUCAAAACUUC